rnacentral:rRNA from 1 species
GACGAACGCUGGCGGCGUGCCUAAUACAUGCCAGUUGAGCGCUGAAGGUUGGUACUUGUACCGACUGGAUGAGCAGCGAACGGGUGAGUAACGCGUGGGGAAUCUGCCUUUGAGCGGGGGACAACAUUUGGAAACGAAUGCUAAUACCGCAUAAAAACUUUAAACACAAGUUUUAAGUUUGAAAGAUGCAAUUGCAUCACUCAAAGAUGAUCCCGCGUUGUAUUAGCUAGUUGGUGAGGUAAAGGCUCACCAAGGCGAUGAUACAUAGCCGACCUGAGAGGGUGAUCGGCCACAUUGGGACUGAGACACGGCCCAAACUCCUACGGGAGGCAGCAGUAGGGAAUCGUCGGCAAUGGACGAAAGUCUGACCGAGCAACGCCGCGUGAGUGAAGAAGGUUUUCGGAUCGUAAAACUCUGUUGGUAGAGAAGAACGUUGGUGAGAGUGGAAAGCUCAUCAAGUGACGGUAACUACCCAGAAAGGGACGGCUAACUACGUG